rnacentral:rRNA from 1 species
GAGGGAAAGUUGAAAAGAACUUUGAAGAGAGAGUUCAAGAGUACGUGAACCCGUUCAGGGGUAAACCUGAGAAACCCAAAAGAUCGAAUGGGGAGAUUCAUCGUUCAGCGGCGCUGGCUUCCGUGCGGCUCGCGAUGGCCGUGGCCUCGGUCACGCGUCACGCGGUCGCUGCGGCAUGCCCGGCGUCGUCGGCGUGCACUUCUCCCCUAGUAGGACGUCGCGACCCGUUGGGUGCCGGCCAACGGCCCGGUUGGUCGACUGUCGCGCAGGCGUUUACGCGUCGGCGCGGCAGACCACCGGUCGCCCGGACGGCUGCUCGGCGGUAUGAAUUAUUCAUAAUCACGGUAAUGGGCCGCACUUGCGUGCGUUCAGGCUCGUCGGCAGGCUCGUCUCGCUCGGAUUUACGGACCUGGUGCCGUUGCCGAGCGCUUGGCGCGGCCGUUUCAGCCGGCGAUGUCCUCGGACGGGCUCGAAUUGCUCUCGGGCAAUUAUUAGAAAAUACCGGUCGGCGACGCUACUGCUUUGGGUACUUUCAGGACCCGUCUUG